CCCGCCGGAAGUGAGGCCGCGGCGGGGCCUCCCUAGCGGCCACGCGGCUGUAACGAGCCCGCUGCCCCCCGCACGCCGACAGCCCCACGGCGCCGCGGCCUGGGGCGCCCGCGCCGCCCCCAUGCUCUUCCGCUUCGGCGUGGUGCUGCCUGCCCGCGUGACGGCGGCGGGCGCUGUGCUCUGCGUGGGCGGCUCGCGGCCGGAGCUGGGCCAGUGGGACCCGCAGCGCGCCGUGCCCAUGGCGCCGGCGCGGCCCGCCGCGGCGCUGCCAGCGCAGGAGCCGGCGCUGUGGCUGGCGGAGGUGGUGCUGUCGGACGAGGACGCCUGCGGCCCCUUCUGGUACAAGUUCCUCAGGCGGCAGGGCGGCGACGUCGUCUGGGAAGGUAACGGACCCCAUCAUGAUCGAAGUAGUGUUUAUGACCGGAACAACGUAGUAGAUGGAGUUUACUGCCUCCCAAUAUCACACUGGAUUGAAGUCUCUGGACAUACUGAUGAGAUGAAACAUACAACUGACUUCUAUUUUAAUAUUGCAGGACAUCAAGCUAUCCAUUACUCCAGAAUUCUGCCAAACAUCUGGCUGGGAAGUUGCCCUCGGCAGGUGGAGCAUGUGACUGUCAAGCUAAAACACGAGUUGGGUAUUACAGCUAUAAUGAACUUCCAGACCGAAUGGGAUAUUGUGCAGAAUUCCUGGGGUUGCAACCGCUACCCAGAACCCAUGAGCCCUGAAAUCCUCAUGAAACUAUAUAAAGAGGAAGGUCUUGCCUAUGUCUGGAUGCCAACCCCAGACAUGAGCACUGAAGGAAGAAUGCAGAUGUUGCCCCAAGCUGUCUGCCUCUUGCAUGGGCUACUUGAGAAUGGACACACUGUUUACGUUCAUUGCAACGCUGGUGUUGGCAGGUCGACAGCUGCUGUCUGUGGCUGGCUGAAGUACGUGAUGGGAUGGAGCCUGCGGAAAGUGCAGUACUUUGUGGCUUCCAGGAGAGCAGCUGUUUACAUAGAUGAGGAAGCUCUGAUUCGUGCUGAAGAUGAUUUCUACCAGAAAUUUGGACAUCUUCAUUCCUCAUGCAAACUUCAAAACUAGAAAAGCAGAAGAGGAGAAGGGAAGUGAAGAGGGAUCUUUACAUGUCAACCCCAAGGAUUUAGAAUUCAUGAGUCAGACUCCUGUCUCUCCUGUUCAGAUUACAGGCUUGUCUUAAAUGCCUUGAGAAUUUUACUAAAAAAUGCCUCUGAGUGUUUUUUUAUUUGCCUUUUUUAAGCUGGUAUGAUUCAUGCUUUCAAGCCUUUUGCUGCAAGUAUGAAAGGUGGAGACUCUGAGACAAAGAUUCUCAUGUAAUUGUUUGCCUAUAGGAACUGAGCUUUUAGGGUAGACACUAAAUAAGAGAAGACUUGAGAGAAAAAUGAAAGUUGGCAAUAUUGCAGUGACAAGAAAGUGAAGGCGCUCCCUGAAACACAGAUACAAAGGUUGACUGGAUCAACAUUCAGGUUAGGAGGGAGCUGAUAGUCAAAGCUGCUCAGUUUUGACAGGUUGUUGCCAAGGAAAUCUAGGAAGACGGGGCACAGCAAAGAUGUGUGGGUAUAAAAUGGACACGGCACCUCUGGUAUCUCUGAGGAACAAAAGAAGGGGUUGUUUCUCCUAGUUGGACAUGCAAACCAGAGGAAGUGUGUCAGUGCUGCUCUCUGGCUGCUGGGCUCUUGGGUAAGUGUUCAGAGUUACAGCUGAUCUCCCAGGAACACCCAAGAGUUACUCCAUUUUGACUGAAUUUAAAGCAAAAAUGGUAAGCUUGUGCUACAGUGUGCCUCAAAAAGCAAGCACUGAGAUGAGGAGGAUGGCAUAAGGAGGAUGGCAUAAGAAGAAAGUAGAACUCGCAUAAAUUUUGCAGUUCUGUUGAGAUAUAUUUGAAACCCCAAGUUUAAAAUGUGUUUGAAAGCAUCUCUGAUAGCCCUUUCUGUCAGAUGCAGCUAGUAAUAUAUGUUGGGACAGGUACUUCUGGUUUUGGUCCUUACAUUGUAGUUGUUUCAGUGCUAACGGUAUCUCUUUUUCAGGGCUCUUGGGACUGAGCAGUGCGUAACACGACACGAGUAAGUAUGUGACUGAGUAAGCACAGCUGUGCCAUAACAGCUAUUCCCUAAUUCUGAUCUUAUUGGCAACAGAAGCCGACUGUUGCUCCAUCUCUUGUAGGGCAGGAAUUCAAAUGAUGUAGAAGCCACACAUCCAAGGGAGCCUUAGCACAGGGUCGUUACUUCACUGUUUAUUGUCAUUUUGGUUUCCUCAUCUGCUAGGCUGCUGAGGGCUUUAUCAUAUAUAGAUUGUAUUAGCUGAUGACAUGCAUGAAAAAAAACUUGCCAACAACACGUUAGCAAAGAAUGCAAAGACUUCCCAUGGCUCGUGGUACCUUUGUACCUAUUUGUAGUAUAUGUAUUUUUUUCAUUGCCACCUUCUUGCCUUCCUCAUUGAAGGCUGCCCUGUCAAUUAACAUUCAUUCAAAGCCCUAUCUGUGGAAUACAGCUAGAAAGCACCAGGAAUUUAAAUGCUAAAGAAAUUAUUGCAAGAGGCUAGGCAAUAGAAAAAGCAACCACAUAAAAAUAUUCCAUUUUUAUGACUGUAUAAUUACAUGAGAAGUCUGCAUCUAAAGCUCAUCUAUUAGUAUUCUAAUUUGUAAUAUUUUCUUAUGCUGCUGGGAUCAUUAGCUGUUUCCACAUACUAGGCUAUUUAUGCAAUUUUGGCAAAAGGAUGAAGACAUUUUUGUGCUUUAUAUCCUUGUAUAUUUCCUUGCUAGUCUAGUCAUAAAAAUGCUAUGAUAUUUAGAGCAGAAUAAGGCCUAUAGAGAGAAUUAGAAACAGAUGAAUAGUAGCAGUUAUUUUAAAGUGUACCCAAGAAGUCAAAUUAAUACACACACCCACUAAGGGAAACCAAAUGCAAAUAUUUUGAUAACCUAUCAUUGAAAAGUAUCAGGUGGGGGAAAUUGUUUUCUGUUAGUAAGAGCAUAGUGGUAUUCCCUGCCUGUGAUAGCAGGUUUUUACCUUUGUUAAACUGCAGAAGAAAAUAGAAUUUACUAAUUAGAAUGAGACCAUUCAUAAUUCCAUUUAGAAUAUCUCAAUGUCAUUAUGAGGCCAAACAAUAAAAUAUAUUCUUUCCCAAGGCUACACACUGGAGCUAAGCAUUCUUAGCUCUUAAGCAUAAUUUUGUAACAAACAUCCCUGCAUGGGAUGGGUUGGGAUUUGAGCAGUGUGGUUUCAUGAGUGUUUUUCCUUUUGACAUCAGAAAGUGGCUAAUGAAAAUCACCUGAGUGAGAUUUUUAGGUAGGCAGUGCAGUGUGGUGGAAAGGAGACUGGGCUGGCUGGCAGGAUUGGUAGAUACUUUUUUUCUCUUACUCCGUAUUUGUUAUUUCAUGCUUUGGCUUUUGGUCCCUUUGACACUUGUUGUCUGCCCUAGUUGCAUAUGUUGUAAGCUUUCAGUGUUCCCUUUCUGUUUGCACACCACCAUGCACAGUGGAGCUCUGGAUGUGGUUGGGACUGCAGGUGUGGUAACAGUAUAUAACAGUUUUUUUAAAAUCUCAUACCUGUGAACUGAGUUCCAUGUGCUGCACAGAACAAUACAGAAGACAUUGUCUCUGCUUUGGGGUGGAAUUACAAUUUGAGACUGCCAGCCAACCCUCUUUGGGCAAAGAUACCUAAAGGGAAAAGCUAAGCUAUGGGUUGUGCAGGAACAAGUAAUGAAACUCCUGUUUAAAACAAGAACACACAACACACCAGAAAAUGUACAUUAGGAAAUAAAGUCUUUCUGGCAAAAAGUCGGACUUACUCCAUUAUAUACUGCAAUGGACUUUUUCAGUUCUAGUUUAUAGAUUACAUACUGACUUUACUGGACUGCAAGUGAUAAGAAAAUUUUGGUUUGACAUAGUCAAAGAAACAUGCCAUAACUUCAUGACCUCUUUUUUAAUUCUUCCUCAUUAAAUUGCAGUGAGAGGUUUCAAUGGUAGACUUAAAAAAGAAACCAAACUUAAUAUGAUUCAUUUAAAAAAGGUACACUGGGACUGUGCAAUGGGAAAUUGUGAAGAAAUCUUUAGGAGUGUAAUAGCUACUAAGAAAGCCUAUAUUUGGCAAGUAAGUCCUAACCUCUUAAAUUAUAAUGGACAUGAAGCUGCCAUUAGCUAAAAUGGAAUUGGAUUAAUAUAACAGAGGACAGGAUUUAGAUGACUGUCACUAACACUAAAUGUUUACAUUCUCAGAGUUAAGUUAAUGUCUCUGCAGUUAUUUCUUUAAAAAUAUCCCACUCUCAAAAUUUUAUUUUCUACAUGUAUAUAGCUUAAAGGGAAAGGGGCUGUUCCAAGGGAGCAGUCUUUCAAAGAGUGGAAGUAUAAAGGAAUUAAUCCUUUUUCUCAUGGCCAGUGACACAAUGACAUCAGCAGCAGCAAGAUCAAACCAUAUUACUUCAUAACUAACCUUCUUGCUAAAUUAACAAAGGAAAAGAAAUUUUUCAAGGGCAAUGACAUUUCCACAUAUUAGCAUAAUUGCCUAGUUCUGACAUAAGCAACUAAAAUACAUGUUGGCCCUUCAGUUAUACUAACAUUGCACCUAUAGGGUGUUCAUUCUUAAUUAGAUAUUUUUUCCUCUUGCUCAGGUCUUUCACCCCAAGAUACUUCAUUCCAGUCUUGCCUAGUUUAGGAAGGGUUUGUAGCUAAACACUGUCAUAUUUGUAAAGAUAAACUAGUGAGUAUUCUAUUAACCCUUUCUUACAUAUCAAAACUUGUCUCAGGAUAAAGAAAUAAGAACUAUCAUACCCGGUAAAAUGAGAAGGGUAACGUUAUAAACUUGAGUACUAUAUUACUCAACCUUUUUGUGCUUAAAACAUAUUGUCUUAACUGGGAGAUCUGAGUUUACAAAGACUGCGGGGUAAUGUCUGUGAUUUGAUAAUUACUUCAGUGCUGAUGUUAUAUUUACAUCAAGGAAAAUAGAAGGCCUAUUUAUUCAUGAGCUGGUGAAAUAGUAAGUAUCUCAUUCUUGAUUUAGAUGAUGUGAGGAAACAGCAUAAAAAAGCUGCCAAGAAAAAUUUUCUAAUGCUGGGCAGGUUUCUGUGGUCUUUACUUAAUGCCAUUAUAACAAAUUUGUUUUCUGGUAAUGCAGUUUCAGCAGGGAAAUAAUUAACAUUCAGGCUGCCAUCCAAGAGAAGCAGCCAUGUUUGAAUUGGACAGUGAGCCCAAAGUCACUGCAACAAAUCAAAUGCCGAAAAUGAAUACAAUCUGAAAACUCAAUAAAAUAUAUAAACAUAGAGAUUAAGGAAUGAGUAUAAGGAUUGUAUUUGGAAAAAGGAAGAAAUACAUAAAUAAACAAUAAAAUCAUAGCUAAUGCCAAAGGGAAAAGUAUUUUGGAGUGAGAUAGCAAACACCACAACUCACUUGAAAAGAUAAUCAGUAUGUUAGAUUAAAAUAUGGCAAUUAUUUAAAGUUCACUAACCAGUUAAAGGGAUGCUACCAAACUAUUUAGGUUUAAAAUGCAGCUACAAUGUUUAAUGGUAUAAAGAAAGAAAUAUGGAGGGAUAAGUUCUCAAGAACAUAGACCAGCUUUACACCCUGUAUUGGGCAAGCAACUCAUGGAGUGAACUUUAGCAGGAGGUGCUUUAAGAGCACAAAACUGGCUGUCAGUGCACUGUGGUUUGGCAGUCAAAUAAGUCCCUUGCAUAUAGGCUGUGUUUUGAAGUAGGAUCAAUGAGACUUUGCUUUAGAAGAAGUAAUGGGAAGGACAGCUCUUAAAAUGUGCUUAAAUGACAACCCCAAAUGGAAGUCUAGACAAACAUAUGUCCCUAUGGAGUCUUUACCAUCAGACAGAAAUAUAAGAUGUAUCUUGCUGCAAAAGCAUAGCCUCUUAGCACUUUUUUUCUAUGCAACACCUGUGCUUAAAGGCAGACCCCCAGAACUGAAAAAAUUGAAUUGUGAGUAAUAGUGGCUCUGACACCAGUUAGUUAAUUGUUGAAUGCCAUCACUCAGAUCAUCACCAAGUUUGGCAGAGCUGGCCAAAUUCAGAGGAAUGAUGGUGUGUGGGUGUCCAAGGUGCUCCAAUGAGAGCUAAACUCGAUCUUGCAGAAGCUUUAGAUGACCCAGUGGGAUCCAGCCAGGAGGAGGGUGGCCUGGAAAACACAAGACAGGUCCUGCACCCAACUCUGUCACUGACUCUGCAGGUGAAAUGGAUUAAAUCAUUUCCUCUCACUUUACCUGAGUUAUUCUGUCUCUUAAAAUUAUGUUAAUGAUACUUAAAUCAGUCUGCAGUCAGCAAUUGACCGGAUGGGACAAUUGUUAUUCUCGAUGUCUCCCCCCACAAUGACUGUGUGGGUGCCAGUGAGAAGUUCUGUAGGUAUUAUCUCAGGUACUUUGCAACUCUAUGUUAAUAUGGUCUAAAUGAUCAGUUCAAAUUUCACAUGGAGUUACUUGUCCAUGUUCCAAACUUUCUUGGGUGUGUGUGUGUGUGUGUUGCAGUAUGAUGGCAGUCACAGGCAACAUAUGGUCUAGUUCUAAGAACUGGGACUCUGAUCUGGCAUUCUUCCCAACUGGGAUAUCUUAUUCACUUGGAAAUAAGGAUUCAUGAACAGAUGCCAUCAUCUUCAGGCAGACUUUUCCUAAUUUUUUGGUGCUAUAUAUAGCAAUUUGCACUCAAGGGUCUCAGUGUGUUCUUCAAAGAUUAAAGAAAGCACUCAUAAUUGUGUAUCCUCAGCACUGUUGAAAAUAGAAUUUAUAUGCUUUUAGUUUGGUUUGUUUAUUUAAUUUAGAUGCUCAGCUAUGGGCACUCAAAAUGGAAAAUGCUGCUCUGAAUUUCUGUCAUCUUCUACCUUUCCUAAAUGUUAGAAAAAAAGACGACCUUAUCAGAAAAGGAGUUUAAUCAAGCCAGAAGCAUUAAAACUUUUAGUAGGUGCUAUAUUAUAUAUGCAGUAAAAUAAAUGUGUUUUUCUGUAGUGUUUCAUGCAGAAAGGACUACAAAACAUUUUGAUAAGUGAGAACUAGGUAACUGCUAGAGCACCAGAGAAAGAUUUAGAAGCAAAAAUGGGAGAAAAUGUGACUUGCAGAAAGGAGCAAUGCAGCGAGAUGGGACAAAGAGAGUGGCCAACUGGCUUUCCAGCGGUGUUGAGUCACAUAGAAAGAAAGAGAACAGAAAGCAAGGGCUUGCAAAGUAGGCUGAGGACAGGGAGAUGAGGCAGUCUGGGCAGAGCUGCGUGGUCCAAGAAUGGCUGUGAAAUGGCCAACAACCUGGGGAAAGGCUUGGAGGAGAGGGGUGAGCUGGGCCUGCUGCCUGGGUGAGAGCAAUGUGACCUCUGUAGCUAUGUUACCACUGUUAUUUCUGUGCACUUUGAAAAAAUCUCAUUCAGCAGUUGGUAGGCACAAUAUGGGGACUGGAUGACUGAGGAAAUGCUGCAGUGAGACACAAAAAAAUCUCAAAACCUAAUGAUCAUCAAAAGCACAACAAAAUCCACAGGAACAGCAAACUUGGCAAGCUAUUUAACAAAAUCAGCCAAGAUCAUUAUUUUUGAGAGGAAAAAAUUUGAUUAGGUCUCUCUUGAUUGCUGGGAACAUGAUUUGAGUACACUUUGGAAAAUGCUGAGCUGUACUAUUCAUGUGUUUCUGCUUAUGGAACUGAAAUCAAUAACUUUAUUUUAGCUGUGAACACGUUCUUAUUUUGCUUUACUGAAUAGCAAUAAUGUUGUAACUCUUUCAAUGGCACCCUGAUGGAAAAAAAAACAAAACAAAGAAGCAUAUCAGAAAUUGUUAUCAAUGAUACAUAGGGUAAUUUUUGUGCUUUUAAUGACUAUCAUCCAUGUUUAUUGGGGUAUUACUGAGCUUAGAAUGUGUAGUUAUCCUCUUUUUAUGUAACUGCUGUCUUGUAUUCUAGACUAAAAGAUAUGCUCGGAUAGCAAAGGAAAAUAGCAAAAAUAGCUGGGUUUGAAGCUGUUUCUGUAACUGUCAUAUCUUUGUGCUACUGUAAAGAUCCAGAGUUCAUGGUGUUAAAUUUUUUGUUAAAAAAAAUCUAUUAAAUGAACAUUAGUGAGAAAUGCAGUAGUUACCAGAAUGUUUACCUGCUAUUAAUGUACUUUUCAUAUGAGAAAGCAGGAGAAAAAAAGAUUUGGAGAAAGUUACUAAAUUCAAACAGAAGACGUGCUUACGCACACCAACAAACUGUGUUUCCUUUUUUAGCAGUGGAUUCAGGCAGAGGAUCUGCUGCUGCUUCUUUUGCAUUCAGAAAGGCUCUGCUCAAGGGACACCCCCUUUAGAUAGAAACUGAUCUAAACAAAGCACUUACCACUUGUGGAAAUUUAGCUACAAGAAUAGUCCCAGGGAUUUCAAGUUGAAGAUUGUACACUUAGUGCCUAAGCACUUUGCUGCAUUCUCCAACUUGACUUUUGAUGAGACAAGUUCUAAAUCGGUGUAUUGCUGCAACCAUAGUGUCCCCAGCAAAUACCAUGAGUUGUAAGCCUUUAGAAAAGGGUAAGGACACUUGUUUGUGAGUCUAUAUGAGUCUAUGAUUCAAACAAGCUGUGUAAGAUGGUAAAGUGAAAUCACUUAAUUUGUUGAGGAAUUAGGUGAGGAUAGGUAUUGGAACUCGGUUCUCCCACUUCAUUUGCAAAACAGUAUCUGAAAACUGUAUUGUGAACACCAGGAGAGUUGUCUAAGUUCCUGUGUUCAUACACCUGCCUGAAAAAAAAAAAAAAAAAUGAAGAGAAGGCCUACUAAAUAUCAGAGCUUUUAGGACUGCAAAUUAAAAGAAUGAAUGUGUGUUUAUCGGAUACAUAAUGGCGGGAAACACGAAUGAGCCCUGCAGCAUCUUGGGGAAAGCCUGCAGUUUCUAGCAGUCUCUGCUGUGUUAAGCACGAAUGUGAUUUUCUGUGACCUGUACACAUUUACUCUUGUUCUACUUUUCGGCUUGCUUUCUGCCCCUACUUCUCCUGCUGUUUGAAACAAACUCAAAUACUACGGAAAGUUUGAGAAAAAUUCUCUGUCUUGUGACCUUUUCAUCUCCAUGGACUUCCUUAACCUAUCUCAGUAGCAGCUUGUUCCAGACUUAAAAAAUACCAGAGCUGUAUUAUAGCUACUUCAGUGCCACAGCUCCUGCUUUUCAUCUCUUCCUCUACAAUUCCAGAACGCCGCAGGGAGAGGCACAAAACUGUGCAAUGAUUCUGCAUGGCUCUGGAUCACCUCUGACAGAUGUGCAGAAAGCAUAGCGGACAGAGUCAUACUCAUUACAUGGUUGUCUCUCUCCUGAAGAGUCUGAAAGCCAGUUUAGCAAGAUUUUUCUAUCAGUCCUUGUAGACGUAAUUGGAACUAAUGAUCCCCCCCCGCCCCUUCCAGGUACUGUUCAAGCGAUUUCCUAAUGGGCUGCCUCCUCCUUCAGCAAAGAGAACAAGUCCAGAAGAACACUCAGCUACUUGCAACAGCUGUGAAUGGUCUUUUGGUCUCUUCAGCACACAAGUAGCAGUACCAAAUUUUGAGGUGUGCCACAGACAGAGCCCUUUGGACCUGCAUACUAGAUAUUAGAGCUGCAGCAGUUUCCUAUGAAUGCAUCUGUGCUGGUUUUUACUUUUAUUCCAUAUGUAGCUCCUGCAUUGCCUAUUUUUUGGCACAAAUGUGUUGAAGCUGUUCACUGAUUAACUAUGGUUAUUAUUUCAUUUCGAUAAUGGUCUAUAAUACAACUCCUUCACCCAGUGUUCAGGAGUGUUGCCAAAGACUAAGUCAGCAGAGUGCCUGAUCUGUGUGCCCAGAGCAACUGCAUUCAAUUGCUUACAAGUGGGUGGCAGGUGUAAGUACGUACCUGACCCUGACAGAAUGGAGCUCACAGCUGUUCUGCUGUUUGAUUUCACAAAAUGUUGACUCAGAUUUUUAACAAUUAACCCAACACAAAUGCUUACUGAGACAAACAAUCUUUUUAUUAGAAAUGUGUUGUCACUACUGAGAGGUGUUUCUAAAUGCUGCACAGUAAAAGGACUGCACUAGGUUUGUCCUGCGCUCUGAUUUUCAGCAUUGGAGGGGAAGUGAAGGGAGUCGAAGAACCUCUUCCUGGCGGUUGAGCUCUGACAGGGAAGUGGGGCUUGGAUGGUCAAGUGCUGAAUGAAAAAAGUAAAUGAGAACUGAUCACUAACAGCUCUGUUUCUUAGCUCCUGUAUUGCUAACGUGAGGCUAAUAAUACUGUUUUCCCAUAGGUCAUACCACACAGAAUGGUUCACUUGAAGAGUGGCUACACCAGGUCGUAUGAAGAAUUCAUCCAGCCCAAACUCCUGUCUCCAAGAGUGGCCGCAAGCAGGUGCCAUGGGAAGAAUUAGAACAGGGCGAGUGUAGAUCUACACCAUGCUCCCCCCAGCCUCUGACCAUUUAUUAGCUCAGGGGAUUUCCAGAGCUUGUUGUGGUUUCUCUAUUUAGUAACCUAUGAUAGACCUCUAUGCAAGUGCUUGCUCUGUCUCCUCUGGGUGUAAGCUUCAUUCAGUCACGGUGGCCUCUGGCAAGAAGCUCCACACGUCUGCUACAUACGGGAUGAAGAACCACAUUAUUUUGUUUGUUUUGAGUUUUAUUUAAUCUCUCCUAGUUUGUGUACUGGAGAGACAGAAUGCAGCUAAUCCCUUCUCCACCUUCUCCAUCAGAGAAGUGUGUGCUCAGUUAAGUACUUGCAUAACAAAAUAUUAAGUGCUUGAUGAAGCCAGUGGGAAUAAAAAGACCUCUUAGCACAUGCCCAAAAAUAAGCUCAUCUACAAAUGCUUUGCUGAACAUGAGGGCUCCGAGAGCAGUGCUACAUUUACCUUCUAUUUUAAAGUGGAAAUCAUUGUUCUGAGCCUUUAUUUAAGUGUAGAUAUUUAAAAGGUUACUUCUAAACCUCUGCUUUCCUUAAGAGAAACUUUCCCCCUUCAUCCUUCUUUAUUAUGUGAUACCUGGAAAAACCUCCUGGCAUAUUACAGUAUCAAAUAUAGUGUGUGUGCGAUUCCAACAAACAAUUCAUUCUUCUAAGUCUUGCUUAUCUCUGAUUUCCACUCAUUCACAGCCCCUGGUCAGAGGCCAACAGCACAAAGAUGGAAGUUAACACCUCCGCUCAGCUGACAGUCCCAUAGAGGUUUGAAGAUGCAAAAAUCCUGCUGGUAGUGAAUGGUGCGUGUGAGUGAUUAAACAACCAAGUGAAAGCAGUCAUAGCAUUAGUGUUGUGCAGCUCCUAUGAUGUAAUUGUAGUGGAUCGUUAUAUAUAUAUCUAUCAAUCCUGAUAAGUAAAUGUAUAUUUAAAACACUCAAAGGUAAUGGAAUGUAACUUUAAAGAAUGAGUGUCCUCUUGUACGUGUCCUAAUAUGUGUCUGAUUAAAGCCUCCUAAAUUCCUUGUCCCAGUC